GAGACGAUAUGUUUACAGACAUUUAAAUGUUUUUCUCCAUUUGUCCUAGCACAUUUGCUAAAUAAAUAUAUAUUAAUAUAGACAACUAAAAUAUAUACAUACUUUUGGGUUUUUAAAAUUUUUUUAAUGUUUAUUCGUUUUUGAGGGGGAAAGAGGAUCUGAAGCAUGUUCUGAACUAACAGCAGUGAGCUAGAUGUGGGGCUCAAACCCACAAACCAUGAGAUUAUGACCUGAGCCAAAGUUGGAUGCUCAAAAGACUGAGCCACCCAGGUGCCCCAUACAUAUUUUUGGACUUGAGUUGGCCUAUGUUCAUAUGCACAUGCUGCCUCCAUUCAUUCCUAUGGAAGGACAGCGGAGGAAUCAAAUCAGCGAGGACAUGAGAACUGAGGAAGAGAGUGAAAAAUGUCAGAAAAGUUCCAGAAGAUGAAAACUGGACACAUAAGUAGCAUCAAAAGUAUGCUUUCGCUUUUUCACUCAGGUAAGUGCUGUGUCAGGAUUCACAGCUAAUGAGUGAUCUUUCCUCUAGCUUUAGGGAUGCCUGAGUAGUUGGCCCUGAGAUAAAUCCAGGUAAGAAAGUACAGGAGUAUUCUGUCCCCGAAGCCCUGUUGAGUUUGCUUUAUACCAGACUAAGCUCCUGUACUUGCCUGUGGCAAUUAUUUAUCAUGUAACCUAUUAUUGAUGAGUACCCUGAAGUUGAUAAAUAAGCUGUAAUUAAGAGGUAAUAUGCAGCUGAUGAGAUGUAGUUUCACCGAGGAAUGAGAGCCAGUCAAGUACCCCAGAGAGUGCUGCCUGACUAAUGAGGUAUAAAGGAAGACACCACAGAGCACGGCUCUCUCCAGCCUCAUCUCACAUGACUACUGGGAUCCAAUGGAGAAUGACUGGAGCACUUGCAAUCUGCUCCUGGGAAUCAUGAGACAUCUGCUAGCCCUUGCUAUGUAUGAUCUUCUGCUUGUCCUGUACUCUUUUUAAACAAAGCAAAUUUGGUCUUGGGUGAAUGCCAUUGUGUCUUCUAAAAUUUAUUGUUAAAGUAACCUAAAACCAUUGUGGCUAGUCAAGCAGAAUUAAUGUUAAAGGCUGAAAAAAGGAAAGGGGAGCAGAGAGGCAAAUUUGUGCCAUAAAACAUCAGAAAGUCCCAGGAAUCGGAAACACUGUCUUUUGGGAGUAAUAUAUAUAUAUAUAUAUAUAUUAUAUAUAUAUAUAUAUAGGCAAAUGCAUAUAUCCAGAAAGGAAACCUAUAGCCUUUCUCUCCAAGUAAGAAAAGCAG
rnacentral:lncRNA from 1 species